rnacentral:rRNA from 1 species
GCUCCAAUAGCGUAUACUAAAGUUGUUGCAGUUAAAAAGCUCGUAGUUGGAUUUCUGGCGGGGAUGGCUGGUUGGUCCGACAAGGGGCUGUACUAUUGCUUAUUCCGUCAUCCUUGGGGAGAGCAGUUCUGGCAUUAAGUUGUUGGGGCUGGGAUCCUAUCUUACUGUGAAAAAAUUAGAGUGUUCAAAGCAGGCUUAGG